AUUGAACGCUGGCGGCAUGCUUUACACAUGCAAGUCGAACGGCAGCGCGGGCUUCGGCCUGGCGGCGAGUGGCGAACGGGUGAGUAAUACAUCGGAACGUGCCCAGUAUUGGGGGAUAGCUCGGCGAAAGCCGGACUAAUACCGCAUACGACCUGAGGGUGAAAGCGGGGGAUCUUCGGACCUCGCGCUAUUUGAGCGGCCGAUGGCAGAUUAGCUAGUUGGUGGGGUAAAGGCCUACCAAGGCGACGAUCUGUAGCUGGUCUGAGAGGACGACCAGCCACACUGGGACUGAGACACGGCCCAGACUCCUACGGGAGGCAGCAGUGGGGAAUUUUGGACAAUGGGCGAAAGCCUGAUCCAGCAAUGCCGCGUGUGUGAUGAAGGCCUUCGGGUUGUAAAGCACUUUUGGCGGGAAAGAAAAGGACUGUGCCAAUACCACGGUUUGAUGACGGUACCCGAAGAAUAAGCACCGGCUAACUACGUG
rnacentral:rRNA from 1 species